GCUGGAUAGAGCAAUGGCCCUCUAAGCCAUCGGUCGGGGGUUCGAAUCCCUCCCAGGACGCUA
rnacentral:tRNA from 1 species